UACGUAGGUGGCAAGCGUUUGUCCGGAUUUAUUGGGUUUAAAGGGUGCGUAGGCGGCUUAUUAAGUCAGUGGUGAAAUACUCUAGCUCAACUAGAGGGGUGCCAUUGAUACUGAUGAGCUUGAGUACAGAUGAGGUAGGCGGAAUGGAUCGUGUAGCGGUGAAAUGCAUAGAUACGAUCCAGAACACCGAUUGCGUAGGCAGCUUACUAGGCUGUAACUGACGCUGAGGCACGAAAGCGUGGGUAGCGAACAGG
rnacentral:rRNA from 1 species